rnacentral:rRNA from 1 species
UACGUAGGGUGCGAGCGUUAAUCGGAAUUACUGGGCGUAAAGGGUGCGCAGGCGGUUCUGUAAGACCGGUGUGAAAUCCCCGGGCUCAACCUGGGAAUUGCGCUGGUGACUGCAGGGCUAGAGUACGGUAGAGGGGGGUGGAAUUCCUGGUGUAGCAGUGAAAUGCGUAGAGAUCAGGAGGAACACCGAUGGCGAAGGCAGCCCCCUGGGCCUGUACUGACGCUCAGGCACGAAAGCGUGGGGAGCAAACAGG